GCUGACCGCCUACGUGGUCAAGGUCUUCUCUCUGGCUGUCAACCUCAUUGCCAUCGACUCCCAAGUCCUCUGCGGGGCUGUUAAAUGGCUGAUCCUAGAGAAGCAGAAGCCCGACGGGGUCUUCCAGGAGGAUGCGCCCGUGAUACACCAAGAAAUGAUUGGUGGAUUACGGAACAACAACGAGAAAGACAUGGCCCUCACAGCCUUUGUUCUCAUCUCGCUGCAGGAGGCUAAAGAUAUUUGCGAGGAGCAGGUCAACAGCCUGCCAGGCAGCAUCACUAAAGCAGGAGACUUCCUUGAAGCCAACUACAUGAACCUACAGAGAUCCUACACUGUGGCCAUUGCUGGCUAUGCUCUGGCCCAGAUGGACAGGCUGAAGGGGCCUCUUCUCAACAAAUUUCUGACCACAGCCAAAGGUGAGGGUUGGCCUGGAGGGGUGAAGGGAGAUGCAUGGCUGAAGUUUAGGGCAGGAGAUACUGAGUUGGGAUGCAUGGCUUUUAGCUGAGCUGGGACGGAUGACCCUAAGCCAAGCUGAGAUGGAUAGUCGUAAGGUGUCAAGCUGGGAUGCAUAACCCUGAGCUGAGCUGGGAUGCAUGGCUCUAAGUUUUAGCAGGUCCUCAUUGUAAACCACACAAGAAGGUGUUGCGUCAUUUAUUCAACAAAUGCGUAUUAAGCAUUCAUUUCAAAGGGCGAAGUGAGAGUUGAUGAAACAGGAGAGUUAAGGCAGGAGCCCAGUAAUUGAGAGCCUCGAAUGUCAGCCAGGACACCCGAACACCAGGAAGUCUAGCAUGCGUCUCUUUCUGAGCUUUCUCUGAGCCAUCCCCAGGCUGGACAGAGCAGUGAGCACUGGGGAUGGGGUAUCUUCUUUGCA
rnacentral:sRNA from 1 species